rnacentral:lncRNA from 1 species
AACUGGUGAGGUUGGAGAUGACUGCGGUGUAGAUGAUGACUGUGGCAUAAGUCGUGAUGGCCGGUGGACUUAGUUUGACAUUUUCGAAAGAGGUUGAAGGGUCAGAAGAAAUGAGAAAUCAUUGAUUCCCCUCCCAUCUUCUUUCGAAAACGCCGAACCGGCGAGAUUUGAGAUGACUGCGGUGUAGAUGACGACGAUGGCAUAAGUCGUAACGGUCGAUGGAUUUGGUUUGACAUUCUCGAAAGAGGUUGAAGGGUUUGAAGAAACGGGGAAUCAUUGAUUUCUCUCCCCUUUUCUUUCGAAAAUGCCAAACUGGCGAGGUUGGAGGAGGUCGCGACAAUGUAAAUCACCCAUCCCAUCAAUUAACGGUUUCAAAUGGGGUAUAGAGAGGUCCGAAGAAAUGAGGAGCCAUUGGCUCCCCUUCCCUCUCCCAUCGAAGUCGUCUAAAUGGCAUAGGUGACGACGGCAGCAGGACCUAAAAAAAAGGAAGAAAAAGAAAAAAGAGAAAAAGAUUUUUCUUUCUUUUUUUUGAUAUGUAUUAUUAUUAUUUCUUUUUUUAUUUUUUAUUUUUUUAUUUUUUUAUAUUUUUUUUUACCUGAUGAUCAAACGGUGGAAGUAGAAUGACAGGCUGGAUGAAGCUGCACGGUGGUGCGGUCGAAGAUCUCUCAUUCUUUGAAAUUUUUUUUUGGUAUGUAGGAACGUGUGUAGUAAGGGUGGAAAUGCUAUUAUCUCUCCUCUUUGUAUCGUAGUCUCUCUCCGUAUCACUAUUCUCUCUCUCUUUAUCUCUUAUCCUUCUUUUUAUCUUCAUAUUUAUAGUAGAAUAGGAAAAUCUGAGGAAUCGAUGAGUGGGUUGAGAUUUUUUCUGAGAGCGACGUGAAUGGGGUUAGGCGAGAGAUAUUUUGAGGAGUUGGUUAGGGAUUCAAAAUUUGAAAUUGAAUUUUGAAUUUGUUGUUGGAGGGAUAGAUAUUUUCUAGUCGGUUGGGAGUUUUACAAAUUCGAAAUUCGAAUGAAUGUGGGUUGUUAAGAGAUAUUUUGGGAGUUGGUUGAGGAUUUGAAAUCAAAUUUUGAAUGGGAAAAGAUAUGUAAUGAGGUUAUUAGGAUAAGAGAUUUUUUCUAAUUGAAUAUUAAAUUUUAGGAUGUGGGUAUGGACCGUCAUUGAUUGGGCCCACUUUGAUGGAGUUUUUUGGGCACAAAUAAUAAUAUUCGUUGGGCUGAAGCGAGGCCCGAAUUAUUACAUAGGCUUAAAAAUUCAACGGGCUUUCAUGAAACCCACCAAUUCGUAUUCAUAAAUGAGCCUAUUGAAUGGAUUUAAAUUAUUAUUAUUCGUCCCAAAAUUUUUUGGUUAACAUGAGACCUACUAGGAUUGUAUAAGUCUGAAUUUAAUUGGCUGUGAUUAUGAUUAGGAUUGCUUUAUCCUAUAUAUAUAUAUAUAUAGUAUAAAUGUUUAUCUUUUUUACUUCAAACAAUA